GCCCCGGUAAACGGCGGCCGUAACUAUAACGGUCCUAAGGUAGCGAAAUUCCUUGUCGGGUAAGUUCCGACCUGCACGAAUGGCGUAAUGAUGGCCAGGCUGUCUCCACCCGAGACUCAGUGAAAUUGAACUCGCUGUGAAGAUGCAGUGUACCCGCGGCAAGACGGAAAGACCCCGUGAACCUUUACUAUAGCUUGACACUGAACAUUGAGCCUUGAUGUGUAGGAUAGGUGGGAGGCUUUGAAGUGUGGACGCCAGUCUGCAUGGAGCCGACCUUGAAAUACCACCCUUUAAUGUUUGAUGUUCUAACGUUGGCCCGUAAUCCGGGUUGCGGACAGUGUCUGGUGGGUAGUUUGACUGGGGCGGUCUCCUCCUAAAGAGUAACGGAGGAGCACGAAGGUUGGCUAAUCCUGGUCGGACAUCAGGAGGUUAGUGCAAUGGCAUAAGCCAGCUUGACUGCGAGCGUGACGGCGCGAGCAGGUGCGAAAGCAGGUCAUAGUGAUCCGGUGGUUCUGAAUGGAAGGGCCAUCGCUCAACGGAUAAAAGGUACUCCGGGGAUAACAGGCUGAUACCGCCCAAGAGUUCAUAUCGACGGCGGUGUUUGGCACCUCGAUGUCGGCUCAUCACAUCCUGGGGCUGAAGUAGGUCCCAAGGGUAUGGCUGUUCGCCAUUUAAAGUGGUACGCGAGCUGGGUUUAGAACGUCGUGAGACAGUUCGGUCCCUAUCUGCCGUGGGCGCUGGAGAACUGAGGGGGGCUGCUCCUAGUACGAGAGGACCGGAGUGGACGCAUCACUGGUGUUCGGGUUGUCAUGCCAAUGGCACUGCCCGGUAGCUAAAUGCGGAAGAGAUAAGUGCUGAAAGCAUCUAAGCACGAAACUUGCCCCGAGAUGAGUUCUCCCUGAGACUUAGAGUCUCCUGAAGGAACGUUGAAGACGACGACGUUGAUAGGCCGGGUGUGUAAGCGCAGCGAUGCGUUGAGCUAACCGGUACUAAUGAACCGUGAGG
rnacentral:rRNA from 1 species